rnacentral:rRNA from 1 species
AUGAACGCUGGCGGCGUGCCUAACACAUGCAAGUCGAACGAAGCAAUCGGAGGAAGUUUUCGGAUGGAAUCUGAUUGACUGAGUGGCGGACGGGUGAGUAACGCGUGGAUAACCUGCCUCACACUGGGGGAUAACAGUUAGAAAUGACUGCUAAUACCGCAUAAGCGCACGCUACCGCAUGGUAGAGUGUGAAAAACUCCGGUGGUGUGAGAUGGAUCCGCGUCUGAUUAGCCAGUUGGCGGGGUAACGGCCCACCAAAGCGACGAUCAGUAGCCGACCUGAGAGGGUGACCGGCCACAUUGGGACUGAGACACGGCCCAAACUCCUACGGGAGGCAGCAGUGGGGAAUAUUGCACAAUGGGCGAAAGCCUGAUGCAGCGACGCCGCGUGAGUGAAGAAGUAUUUCGGUAUGUAAAGCUCUAUCAGCAGGGAAGAAAAUGACGGUACCUGACUAAGAAGCCCCGGCUAACUACGUGCCAGCAGCCGCGGUAAUACGUAGGGGGCAAGCGUUAUCCGGAUUUACUGGGUGUAAAGGGAGCGUAGACGGCGAAGCAAGUCUGAAGUGAAAACCCAGGGCUCAACCCUGGGAGUGCUUUGGAAACUGUUUUGCUAGAGUGUCGGAGAGGUAAGUGGAAUUCCUAGUGUAGCGGUGAAAUGCGUAGAUAUUAGGAGGAACACCAGUGGCGAAGGCGGCUUACUGGACGAUAACUGACGUUGAGGCUCGAAAGCGUGGGGAGCAAACAGGAUUAGAUACCCUGGUAGUCCACGCCGUAAACGAUGAAUGCUACGUGUUCGGCCGCAAACUCCUUCCGCGCCGUCUCAAACGCAGUAAGCAUUCCACCUGGGGAGUACGUUCGCAAGAAUGAAACUCAAAGGAAUUGACGGGGGCCCGCACAAGCGGUGGAGUAUGUGGUUUAAUUCGACGCAACGCGAAGAACCUUACCAAGUCUUGACAUCCUUCUGACCGGUACUUAACCGUACCUUCUCUUCGGAGCAGGAGUGACAGGUGGUGCAUGGUUGUCGUCAGCUCGUGUCGUGAGAUGUUGGGUUAAGUCCCGCAACGAGCGCAACCCUUAUCCUUAGUAGCCAGCAGGUAGAGCUGGGCACUCUAGGGAGACUGCCAGGGAUAACCUGGAGGAAGGUGGGGAUGACGUCAAAUCAUCAUGCCCCUUAUGAUUUGGGCUACACACGUGCUACAAUGGCGUAAACAAAGGGAAGCAAGACAGUGAUGUGGAGCAAAUCCCAAAAAUAACGUCCCAGUUCGGACUGUAGUCUGCAACCCGACUACACGAAGCUGGAAUCGCUAGUAAUCGCGAAUCAGAAUGUCGCGGUGAAUACGUUCCCGGGCCUUGUACACACCGCCCGUCACACCAUGGGAGUCAGCAACGCCCGAAGUCAGUGACCCAACCGAAAGGAGGGAGCUGCCGAAGGCGGGGCAGGUAACUGGGGUG